ACUCUAGUAAGACUGCCGGUGACAAACCGGAGGAAGGUGGGGAUGACGUCAAAUCAUCAUGCCCCUUAUGACCUGGGCUACACACGUGCUACAAUGGAUGGUACAACGAGUUGCGAGACCGCGAGGUCAAGCUAAUCUCUUAAAGCCAUUCUCAGUUCGGACUGUAGGCUGCAACUCGCCUACACGAAGUCGGAAUCGCUAGUAAUCGCGGAUCAGCACGCCGCGGUGAAUACGUUCCCGGGCCUUGUACACACCGCCCGUCACACCAUGAGAGUUUGUAACACCCGAAGCCGGUGGCGUAACCCUUUUAGGGAGCGAGCCGUCUAAGGUGGGACAAAUGAUUAGGGUGAAGUCGUAACAAGGUAGCCGUAGGAGAACCUGCGGCUGGAUCACCUCCUUU
rnacentral:rRNA from 1 species